GCCCCCCAUAGCCCAAUUGGCAGAGGCAACGGACUUAAAAUCCGUCAAGUGUCGGUUCGAGUCCGACUGGGGCACCA
rnacentral:tRNA from 1 species